rnacentral:rRNA from 1 species
GCCUUAGUGGCGAACGGGUGAGUAACGCGUGGGAACCUACCGAGAAGUGGGGAAUAACUAUUGGAAACGAUGGCUAAUACCGCAUACCUCCUGAGGGAGAAAGGCCCCUGUCUUUAGGGAUAUGGGCCGCUUUUUGAUGGUCCCGCGUCUGAUUAGCUUGUUGGUGAGGUAACGGCUCACCAAGGCGACGAUCAGUAGCUGGUCUGAGAGGAUGAUCAGCCACACUGGGACUGAGACACGGCCCAGACUCC